rnacentral:rRNA from 1 species
ACAGGGAUUGCCCUAGUAACGGCGAGUGAAGCGGCAACAGCUCAAAUUUGAAAUCUGGCGUCUUUGGCGUCCGAGUUGUAAUUUGCAGAGGGCGCUUUGGCAUUGGCAGCGGUCCAAGUUCCUUGGAACAGGACGUCACAGAGGGUGAGAAUCCCGUACGUGGUCGCUAGCCUUUACCGUGUAAAGCCCCUUCGACGAGUCGAGUUGUUUGGGAAUGCAGCUCUAAAUGGGAGGUAAAUUUCUUCUAAAGCUAAAUACUGGCCAGAGACCGAUAGCGCACAAGUAGAGUGAUCGAAAGAUGAAAAGCACUUUGGAAAGAGAGUUAAAAAGCACGUGAAAUUGUUGAAAGGGAAGCGCUUGCAGCCAGACUUGCCUGUAGUUGCUCAUCCGGGUUUUUACCCGGUGCACUCUUCUAUAGGCAGGCCAGCAUCAGUUUGGGCGGUUGGAUAAAGGUCUCUGUCAUGUACCUCUCUUCGGGGAGAACUUAUAGGGGAGACGACAUGCAACCAGCCUGGACUGAGGUCCGCGCAUCUGCUAGGAUGCUGGCGUAAUGGCUGUAAGCGGCCCGUCUUGAAACACGGACCAAGGAGUCUAACAUCUAUGCGAGUGUUUGGGUGUCAAGCCCGAGCGCGUAAUGAAAGUGAACGGAGGUGGGAACCCCUCGGGGUGCACCAUCGACCGAUCCUGAUGUCUUCGGAUGGAUUUGAGUAAGAGCAUAGCUGUUGGGACCCGAAAGAUGGUGAACUAUGCUUGAAUAGGGUGAAGCCAGAGGAAACUCUGGUGGAGGCUCGCAGCGGUUCUGACGUGCAAAUCGAUCGUCAAAUUUGGGCAUAGGGGCGAAAGACUAAU